rnacentral:rRNA from 1 species
AUACGGAGGGAGCAAGCGUUAUUCGGAAUCACUGGGCGUAAAGCACGCGCAGGCGGCUUGAUAAGUUGGAUGUGAAAGCCUACGGCUCAACCGUAGAACUGCAUCCAAAACUGUCAGGCUAGAGUGUGGGAGAGGAAGAUGGAAUUAGUUGUGUAGGGGUAAAAUCCGUAGAGAGAACUAGGAAUACCAAAAGCGAAGGCAAUCUUCUGGAACACUACUGACGCUGAGGCGCGAAGGCGUGGGGAGCAAACAGGAUUAGAAACCCCAGUAGUCC